rnacentral:rRNA from 1 species
GACGAACGCUGGCGGCGUGCCUAACACAUGCAAGUCGAACGGGGGUAUUUAUUUCGAUGAAUACCUUAGUGGCGAACGGGUGAGUAACGCGUGAGCAACCUAUCCUUAAGAGGGGGAUAACAUCUGGAAACAGAUGCUAAUACCGCAUAAGACCACACUGCCGCAUGGCAGAGGGGUCAAAGGAGCAAUCCGUUUAAGGAGGGGCUCGCGUCCCAUUAGAUAGUUGGGGAGGUAACAGCUCACCAAGUCAGCGAUGGGUAGCCGAGCUGAGAGGCUGAUCGGCCACACUGGAACUGAGACACGGUCCAGACUCCUACGGGAGGCAGCAGUGGGGAAUAUUGGGCAAUGGGGGGAACCCUGACCCAGCAACGCCGCGUGAGGGAAGAAGGCCUUCGGGUUGUAAACCUCUGUCAUUAGGGAAGAAGAAAGUGACGGUACCUAAUGAGGAAGCCCCGGCUAACUACGUGCCAGCAGCCGCCGUAA